UCCUUAGUAGCUCAGUGGUAGAGUAGUUGACUGUUAACCAAUUGGUCGUAGGUUCGAAUCCUACGUGGAGAG